AGCGAACGCUGGCGGCAGGCCUAACACAUGCAAGUCGAACGAACUCUUCGGAGUUAGUGGCGGACGGGUGAGUAACACGUGGGAACGUGCCUUUUGGUUCGGAAUAACUCAGGGAAACUUGUGCUAAUACCGAAUGUGCCCUUCGGGGGAAAGAUUUAUCGCCAUUAGAGCGGCCCGCGUCGGAUUAGCUAGUUGGGGAGGUAACGGCUCACCAAGGCGACGAUCAGUAGCUGGUCUGAGAGGAUGACCAGCCACACUGGGACUGAGACACGGCCCAGACUCCUACGGGAGGCAGCAGUGGGGAAUCUUGCGCAAUGGGCGAAAGCCUGACGCAGCCAUGCCGCGUGAAUGAUGAAGGUCUUAGGAUUGUAAAAUUCUUUCACCGGGGACGAUAAUGACGGUACCCGGAGAAGAAGCCCCGGCUAACUUCGUG
rnacentral:rRNA from 1 species